CCUACGGGGGACAGCAGUGGGGAAUAUUGGGCAAUGGAGGCAACUCUGACCCAGCAACGCCGCGUGAAUGAUGAAGGUUUUCGGAUUGUAAAGUUCUUUCCUCAGGGAAGAAGAAAGUGACGGUACCUUACGAAUAAGCCUCGGCUAACUACGUGCCAGCAGCCGCGGUAAUACGUAGGGGGCAAGCGUUAUCCGGAAUGACUGGGCGUAAAGGGGGCGUAGGCGGUGUGACAAGUCUGGAGCGAAAUUCCGGGGCUCAACUUCGGAACUGCUACUUAAACGGGUGGACUUGAGUGCAGGAGAGGGAAGCGGAAGUCCUAGUGUAGCGGUGGAAGGCGUAGAUAUUAGGAGGAACACCAGUGGCGAAGGCGGAUUGCUAGACUGUAACUGACACUGAGGCACGAAAGCGUGGGGAGCAACCAGGAUUAGAUACCCGAGUAGUC
rnacentral:rRNA from 1 species